rnacentral:tRNA from 1 species
GAGCUCGUAGUGUAAUGGAUAUCACGCAAGAUUCCGGUUCUUGCGAUGAGGGUUCGAUUCCCCCCGAGCUCA